GCCAAGUGUGGUGGUGCACACCUGUAAUCCCAGCUUCUUAGGAGGCUGAGACAGUAGGCCAGCCUGGGCAACUUAGCAAGACUCUAUCUCAA
rnacentral:sRNA from 1 species